rnacentral:ncRNA from 1 species
AGUACGACAAUGAGAAGGAACAGUAAAUUUUGAAGCUUCAAAGAGAGCUAGCGGGUGGUGCGAGCUGGCAAGCGGAAAAAUUGAACUCGCCUUGGAGUCUGUUUUGGUGAAGAUAGUAGCUGAAACCGUUUUUCCACGUUAUGGAACUAAAGCUGAGUGUAGUGUCACUAAUUUGGGUGGUACCGCGGGAGUUGCAAAUAUCUCUCGUCCCUUUC